UUGUUUUUUCGAAACAAAAUGACGCGGGUAUAACAAUGUUUUAGUGUUUAAAUGUAAUUAUGCAUAGUUUUAACGUUUUUAUCCAUGAUUUUAAUGUAAAUCCUGUGCUUGUGUAAUUUAAAUAAUUUUGUGCGUUUGACUAAAUAUGUGCAAGCUAAGAAAUCUUUUGUUAUCUGGGACGCUUGGAGCGCGUCAGAACACUGGGCACGCGGCCUGGAGUGGGAUAAGUAGGGUGACCAUGGGAGCGGAGGCUGCGGAUACGAGGAUUAUCUACCGGACAGGUAGGAGGCGCAAUAAUGACCGCAACCACUACCGCCUGCCUGAUACCCCAGACUAACCGAAGGAGCAAAGAAGGACGACAUAUCACAAAAUCAGCUGACCCGAAAUUCUUACUUUACAAACGUUGCUAUCUCCUGUGCAAUUUUUUUUAAUUCAAGACAAAGUUUUUGCUAUCUGAGAGGAGGAACGUUCUUAGAGGAGGAUUGCUCACAAAUUAAAUUAAAUUUUGCUAAUUUAACUAGAUCUUUACUUAGUACUUUACUUCAAUUACCCGAAGGUAGGAAUUAGUUUCAUUUAUAAUUUCGUUGUGCCUGAAGUAGUCGAUUCAAUUAUUUGUUAAAAUUGGUUUUUUUUUUAUAAAAAUAGUUUGAUAGCAAUUGAAGACAUAGAGCAGCCAACGUAUUAAGUCGUUCCCUGAUUUUACUGAGGUAUAAUCUGUUCAGCGCCAGAAUAGUGUAUACAGUUUAUGUAUAGGGAACGACAUGAGUUGUUUCAGAGGUUACGCUAAACAAGCGUGUAUAAGGGGCCUUAGUAGUUUUGAGAUUCAUGCAUACAUUGUAAGUGAUGUUUAGUACUAUUUUUUAUAUCCACUAUGCAGAAUAAUGGUUUAUUAAUAACACCCUUGAAACCCCAUUCUCGUUGUUUUUUUCUUUACAAACCAAAGAUUGUCGUUUUUGCCUGUUACUGUGAGGUACAUGUUUCUCAUUUUAUUUUGUUACCACAUUUUUUUAAAUAUUUACUGAAAAGUUUAUGGGCCGCCCUGUAAUGUCUAAUUUGAUUACUAUUUUGAUGGAUCACCAAUCAUAGAUAGUACGCACUUUAUCUAUAUGAUAUAGGUUGGUGUUAUAAUAUUUGUACGAUAGAUAGAUUUAGAUAACGAGAUUUAGAUUUUUAAGCUCUCUGAAAAAAAAAUAUUUUUCAUAGAUUUGCAUUCCCUGCGGUUUCGCCGUGCGAGUCAUGCGAAACAUAUCGGCCGGCGGCGGCUAUCAUUCAUUUUAAUACUAAUUGUAGGUAAUUUUAAAUUCGUAAUAUCUUUUGAAUGGAUUGUCCGGUUGGAAUGAAAUAAAAAGUAAUUUAUAGCUAUUGAAACAAUCUUGCUCAAUAGAUAGUGUAUUUGGAUAAGGAUUAGUUUUUGACGAUGAUAUGAUCAAUCAACAUAGGCUUAUAAUUACUUUUAUGCUUUGGAAAAGUAGUUAUAAUGGCUAAAAUAAUAUAUAAAUGUUUGGUUUAUACUACCGCAGACUUUUUUGUAAGCAUUAUUUAGUUCUACAACAUUUCUAUAGAAGUCAACCAUACAUCUCUUACCAUUUAGGCAGCGUUCGCGAGAAUCGUUAACGUACGGUAGUUUUUUCGACGACUUACUCCACAAUUUUCACUAACACGAAAAAUCCUAUCUAUUUUCAGGGAUAAAAUAUAGCCUGUACGGAUUCGGAAGA